rnacentral:lncRNA from 1 species
UAGGGUUUCUGAUCCCUUUUAACAUCAUUACGCUUCUGUUUCUUUAGGGUGUUAUGUGACUAUUCCUAUGAUAUGUGCUUGAAAUCUUUUGUUUUCCGAGCUUCAUGUAUUAAAUCUUUUCUAGGGUUCCGACCCUCUAUUGUUCAUGUGAUUUUUCACUUAGGGUUCUCAAUUUUUGUGACUAUUGAAGUUCGAAUGCCU